UCUGCAGCAACAGGUUGGGCGAGGACUCGCGUCUUCAGCGCUCGCAGCAUCUGUGGAGUUGACCGUGACCCCCCCGUGAAGACGGCGACGUGUGCCAGACCCGUGGUCCCACGCCGCACCCAUGGCACUGCUGUAGACAGUUGGCCACGGGGUUGUCCCGGGAGAGGCGGCGUCUCACUGAAGGACAUUCUGAUCGCAGUGCGCGCUGUAGUCGUGUGCAAGACGGGCUGGGCUGAUCUUGAAGAUGCAAGACUCGCCGCCUCUGUGAACCCCCCUGAUCCUUAGAGGGAGUGGUCAACAGAGUGACAUUGGGCAGCGGCUGUUGCCGACGGAGAGAUGUGAAAGUGUCGUCGGCUCCUGCGCCGGGUGAAGUUUGCGGAAGGAGUUCCCUGGUAACUGGACGCGCUGGGGAACCAGUUACAUUUGGAUCCCGUGAUUAUGGAACGUGUAGGAAGGAACUGCAGAUGCUGGUUUACACCGAAGAUAGACACAAAGUGCCGGAGUAACUCAGCGGGACAGGCAGCAUCUCUGGAGAGAAGGGUUUGGCCCAGAUUGCAGGAUUGUUGGGUUUAGAGGAGAUCUCCAAACUAGCUUCGCUUGUCGCUGCGAUAAGAACAACUCUUCCGGUGCUGAAAUCAAUUGACAGGAGAAUUAAUGUUUAAGAAGAAACUGCAGAUGCUGGAAAAAUCGACGGUGGACAAAAAUGCUGGAGAACUCAGCGGGUGAGGCAGCAUCUGUGGAGCGAAGGAAUAGGUGACGUUUCGGGUCGAGACCCUUCUUCAGACGGAAUAAUCAAGAUCUGUAUGAAAUUAAAAUAAAUAUAUAAUUUUCUAAAAGAGAGCAGACACAAUCGGGUUGGAUAUUUCUGGGGAUAUGGUUUGAAUCCAGGUUGACAUUAGUACCGAGGGAAUAAAUGUGUCUGUCUAUUUGAAUAAACCGCCCACUGCUCAUUAACCAGGUGAAUUUAUCUUCAGUCCCGAUCAGAAACAGCGUCUGUCCAUUCCCUCCACAGAGGCUGCCUGACCCGCACAGUUCCUCCAGCACUUUGCGCUUUGCUCAGGAAUCCAGCAUCUGCAGUUCCUCGUGCCUGCAGCCUGAAGGUAAA